rnacentral:rRNA from 1 species
UAGGGAAUCUUCGGCAAUGGGGGCAACCCCUGACCGAGCAACGCCGCGUGAGUGAAGAAGGUUUUCGGAUCGUAAAGCUCUGUUGUAAGAGAAGAACGUGUGUGAGAGUGGAAAGUUCACACAGUGACGGUAACUUACCAGAAAGUCACGGCUAACUACGUACCAG